CCUACGGGAGGCAGCAGUAGGGAAUAUUGGGCAAUGGAGGCAACUCUGACCCAGCCAUGCCGCGUGCAGGAUGAAGGCGUUAUGCGUUGUAAACUGCUUUUAUAUAGGAAGAAAGAGUUCUUGCGAGAACAGUUGACGGUACUAUAUGAAUAAGCACCGGCUAACUCCGUGCCAGCAGCCGCGGUAAUACGGAGGGUGCAAGCGUUGUCCGGAUUUAUUGGGUUUAAAGGGUGCGUAGGCGGUUUAUUAAGUCAGUGGUGAAAGACGGUCGCUCAACGAUUGCAGUGCCAUUGAUACUGGUAGACUUGAGUGAGAUUGAGGUAGCUGGAAUGGAUAGUGUAGCGGUGAAAUGCAUAGAUAUUAUCCAGAACACCAAUUGCGUAGGCAAGUUACUAAGUCUCAACUGACGCUGAGGCACGAAAGUGUGGGUAUCAAACAGGAUUAGAUACCCUGGUAGUCCACACUGUAAACGAUGAUAACUAACUGUUGGCUUUAGGGUCAGUGGUACAGAGAAAUCGUUAAGUUAUCCACCUGGGGAGUACGCCGGCAACGGUUGAAACGUCAAAGGAAUUGACCGGNNGAGAGAGCGACGGACGACGACGAGGGAGGAGG
rnacentral:rRNA from 1 species